rnacentral:rRNA from 1 species
AUUGAACGCUGGCGGCAGGCCUAACACAUGCAAGUCGAACGAGUGGCGGACGGGUGAGUAAUGUCUGGGAAACUGCCUGAUGGAGGGGGAUAACUACUGGAAACGGUAGCUAAUACCGCAUACCAUCGGAUGUGCCCAGAUGGGAUUAGCUAGUAGGUGGGGUAACGGCUCACCUAGGCGACGAUCCCUAGCUGGUCUGAGAGGAUGACCAGCCACACGGGAACUGAGACAGGGUCCAGACUCCAAGGGAGGGCAGAAGGGGGGAAUAUUGAAAAAUGGGGGAAAGCCUGAGGCAGCAUGGCGGCGUGUAUGAAGAGGGCCUUGGGGUUGAAAAGUACUUUCAGCGGGGAGGCGUUACCCGAGGAGGAAGCACCGGCUAACUCCGUGCAAGCGGCCGCGGUAUUA